rnacentral:misc_RNA from 1 species
GCCGGAGCUGAAAUAGAGAACUACAAGCACAACUAAAUUGUUGAAGAAGAUGUCUAUGGUUCUGAAUUGUGUUGCUGCAUCACCUUCUUGUGCCACUAGGAAAUGGAAACCUGCUGUGCUUGGGAAACAGUUACCUUCUGGAACAUCACCAUUUUCAGUAUCAGCUAAGACUUAUGGAAAGUUUCGCGUCAAUGCGUUUUUCUUCAAUCCCAUACAGGAACCCAUUCUCAAAGAAGCUCUCAAGGAGCCUGUUGCCUUUGCAGGAGGGAUGUUUGCUGGGCUUCUAAGACUUGAUUUGAAUGACGAUCCUCUGAAGGAAUGGGUUUCUAGAACAGUUGAGGCCUCAGGAGUUACAGCUAAAGAAAUUGAGGCUGGUGAUGAUCAAGCAGAGGACACCCCACAACAGAUAGAAAUUGAAUGAGUUUUCUUAUCUGUCUUCCUGUGUUGCCACUGCCCUUGUAAAAAUACAAUAAUUGUGGUAUAACAUAUAACUUGUAUGGUGGAGAAAAACCCUAUAAUGUGUACUCUUUUAAGGAAAUCGAAAAAUCUACAUGAAACAUGAGCAUACCCUUAUAUUGGUUUUGAGUAU